GCUAAAAGUCUAGCCCACCUAAACCUGAAUAAAAGAUACCUUCUUUUACUUUAUAAACUAAAACAUUUUAACAUCUUAGUAAAGGAGAUUGAAAAAUUAACCGGAGCAAUAAAAAUAGUACCGCAAGGGAAUGAUGAAAUAAAAAUGAAAUAAACCUUAAGCACAAAAAAGUAAAGAUUAACCCCUGUACCUUUUGCAUCAUGGUCUAACUAGUCUAAUCAAGCACAAAGAAUUAUAGUUUGACCCCCCGAAACUAAGUGAGCUACUUCAAGGCAGCUUUAUGAGCAAACCCGUCUCUGUUGCAAAAGAGUGGGAAGACCUUCAAGUAGGGGUGACAGACCUAACGAACUUAGUGAUAGCUGGUUACUCAAGAAAUGGAUUUUAGUCCAACCUAAAGCUUUUUCUAUCAAUAAAAAUUUACCUUGAACUUUAGAAUAAUUCAAAUAAGGUACAGCCUAUUUGAAACAGGAUACAACCUCAAUUGACGGGUAAUAGAUAAAUUUAUUUAACCAAGUGGGCUUAAAAGCAGCCACCUUUAGAAAAGCGUCAAAGCUUAAUUAAACACCCCAAUUAAUUUCUCUAAUCUUCUAUAACCCUCCCUAAUUAUUGAGUAAUUCUAUAUUUUUAUAGAACCUAUUAUGUUAAAACUAGUAACAAGAAGAAAACCCUUCUCUUAAAUGUGUGUGUAAAUCAGAAAGGAUAACCCACUGAUAAUUAACGUCUAUGAGUACAUUUUAGUAACUUUAACAAGAAAAUCCUAAUUUUUACCAACGUUAACCUAACACAAGAACAUUAUAAGAAAGAUUUAAAGAAAAAGAAGGAACUCGGCAAAUCUUAACCCCGCCUGUUUACCAAAAACAUCGCCUCUUGAAUAAAAUAAGAGGUCCAGCCUGCCCAGUGACCCAGUUCAACGGCCGCGGUAUUCUGACCGUGCGAAGGUAGCGUAAUCACUUGUUCUUUAAAUGAGGACUAGUAUGAAUGGCAUCACGAGGGUUACACUGUCUCCUUUUUCUAAUCAGUGAAACUAUUCUCCCCGUGAAGAAACGAGGAUACACAUAUAAGACGAGAAGACCCUAUGGAGCUUUAAAUUUUAUUUCAAUUGCUCUAUUACAUUAACCGGUCCAGACCCAUUACUUUAAACCAAGCAUUAUGAUAAUAAAUUUUAGGUUGGGGUGACCGCGGAGCACAAAAAAACCUCCGCAUUGAGCCAGGCCUUUAAGCCUUGUACAAAGAGCUACAACUCUAACAACUAAUAUAUUAACAUUAAUUGACCCAAUAUUUUUGAUCAAUGAACCAAGUUACCCUAGGGAUAACAGCGCAAUCUACUUUGAGAGCUCCUAUCGACAAGUGGGUUUACGACCUCGAUGUUGGAUCAGGGUGUCCCAGUGGUGCAGCCGCUACUAAAGGUUCGUUUGUUCAACGAUUAAAACCCU
rnacentral:rRNA from 1 species